rnacentral:lncRNA from 1 species
UUUUUUUUUUUUUUUUUCGAGAUGGAGUCUUAGCUCUGUUACCAGGCUGGAGUGCAAAGGAGACUCUGUCUCAAUAAAAAGAAGAGUUAGUCCCAUGGGUGACAUUCUGAACCUGAUGGUGACUCCCUAAGAGAUUUAGAACCAUUGGAAUAAAGUAGGUUCCUAUAUUAUUUAUGGGGCCUGGGCAAGAUGACAGAGACUCCCUCGUCUCUUCCCAUGCCUGGUGUUGGCCCAUACUUCAAGGUGUCUCACAUUCUAGCCUGCACAUCCAAGCUCAGUCUACAAAUCCCUUACACAAAAUCAGGGUCUAGCGUGUGUGUACAUCAGUCAGAGUCCACUCUCAUGAA